rnacentral:rRNA from 1 species
UACGAAGGGGGCGAGCGUUGCUCGGAAUCACUGGGCGUAAAGGGCGCGUAGGCGGCCAUUCACGUCAGGGGUGAAAGCCUGUGGCUCAACCACAGAAUUGCCUUUGAUACUGUUUGGCUAGAGACCGGAAGAGGUAAGUGGAACUGCGAGUGUAGAGGUGAAAUUCGUAGAUAUUCGCAAGAACACCAGUGGCGAAGGCGGCUUACUGGUCCGGUUCUGACGCUGAGGCGCGAAAGCGUGGGGAGCAAACAGG